rnacentral:rRNA from 1 species
GCGUGCAGGAAGAGGCUUCGGGUUGUAACCGCUUUUGUACGGAACGAAACGGUCUGCUUUAAUACAGUGGGCUAAUGACGGUACCGUAAGAAUAAGCACCGGCUAACUACGUGCCAGCAGCCGCGGUAAUACGUAGGGUGCGAGCGUUAAUCGGAAUUACUGGGCGUAAAGCGUGCGCAGGCGGUUAUAUAAGACAGAUGUGAAAUCCCCGGGCUCAACCUGGGAACUGCAUUWGAGACUGUAUAGCUAGAGUACGGUAGAGGGGGAUGGAAUUCCGCGUGUAGCAGUGAAAUGCGUAGAUAUGCGGAGGAACACCGAUGGCGAAGGCAAUCCCCUGGACCUGUACUGACGCUCAUGCACGAAAGCGU